ensembl:lncRNA
CCCACUUCUUCAGGAUUCCAGCUUCUACAGAAGAGCAGCCAAGACAUCUACUCUCGUGGGACUGAGCAACUACUAGAUUCUUGGACUUAGCAUUCACAGCUGCCUGCUGUUGGGUUGGCAGCCAUGGUGCUGAAGGACCUAUGAAGCUGUGGUUCAGAUGUCCUUGGCUCCUGUGGGGUUUUAAUCUGGAAAGAAAACAGGGCCAUCGGAUGGGAAUAACUUGCUACAAAGACUCUUCUUGUGAAGCUGGAUGUGGUGGUACUGACCUGUAAUCCUAGAACAUGAGACUGAGGCAGGGGGAUCACUGUCUCAAAAAGAGCAUUAGGAGCAUGGACACAUUGGCCAGUACCCCACCCUCUGCGCCCUCUUAUGCCUGACGGAAUUAAGAAAGUGACUAAGCACUUCAGCCAACACCUAGAAGGGACUUGCCUGAGACAUGAGAUGGGAGUCCUGUGGCCUCAGCUCCUGCUUGCUGCUUUUUUGACGCGCGUUCUUUAAGGUUUGAAGCCCCACCCUCUGACUGACAUCACAGAGGUCAUCUCCAAAUCCAUAUCAAGACUUCUUCCCCACAGUCCACGUAACUCCAUGUAACCUCUAAGUUGGGGUCCUCCACAAACCGUGACAGCCUAAGGAUGCUCCUCCUGUCCUUUAGUAGCAUGAUGGAUUCCUCCUUAUCCUGAAGUAAGGAAAUGGGGCCCAGGGUUGUUAACUGGCUUGCCCAAGAGUAUACACUUGGUUCACUGGAGAACAAGAAGGAGAGACAGAUUCUCUGACCCAACCUACAAAUUUUUGUCAGCUAGAUAAAGACGCUGGGUGAACAGUUUGGAAUUCUAUUUUUAUUGAAGCUUUCCCCAAAGAUUUGGUCUCUUUUACAGUCUUUUUCUUACAAGAUGUUUAUAAUGUCUGAAAAUGCCAGUUUAUAGUUUAGAAGGAACUGGGAACAGCCUUGGUGAAGUGAGGAGACUCAUUGGUUACCCACAAACCAUGUCAGCCAACCUAUUACACUGUGGCCAAAGCUCGGAUCUAUGCCCGCCCUCGGCCUUCUUAUGGUGAGGCGUAAUUGAGGGCCUGUAUACCAGGCCUUUCUAGGCCUUUCCAGUAUUGCCCCACAUCGACCUUGAUGCCUUCCUCUGAAUCCUUGAUUACCAAAUGUCAACAGGCAGCCGGUCAGCUUGGGAUGGGUCCUGCAAGGCUACUGCAAGACAGGCGAAUGACAGGCCAGCUCAUCAACAAGGUACACAUCGGGCAAACGUCAGGAAAAACUGGUCUUUCCAGCUCAUCACUGGAAAAGCAGUUUUGUGUGAGGCUUCCCAUGGUAUUAAAUAGAUGUGAGAAAGGCUGUUCCGUCAUCACAUUCAUUUGGAUAGGCAUCUAAGGUCAGAGCAUCACAAACAGACCCUCCCUGUCCCCGAUAGUAUAAAGUUGAGCAGACAAACCUGCUUUCAUGAAAUCGACAUAUUUUUCCUGUGGGUCUUUGUCUUUUCCAUAGGCAAGCACUCGUGCAGCCUAGGUCAUGUAAACGAGGCUAUACUUCAAGCAAUUCUCCUGCCUCCUGAAAGUUUAAGACUUCUAGAUAUAGAAUAAUACUUCUAAAAAGAGUUUGCAAGUCACCUAUCAGAGCCCUAUCUUAGCAGGAGAGGGAAAUAAGUUUCUCAUUAGAUGAGAGUGCACUCGUUUUUCUAUGAGCUAAAAUUGCACCCUUGGCUCUGGUGGGACCGGUGGCUAAUCUAAAACCCAUAAUAUUUUUCAUAUAAACCACAGCUCGGAUCAAAUUUUUUUCCAUCCCAAUAAAUUUCUUAAAUUUUUGUUCAGCUUAUAAUUUGCUUUUCAAUUCUGUUUUAACCCCAUAUUUCUGUCUAGAGUUUGAAUUUGCAACUUGUUAAUUUCACUAACUUUUUUUUUGAGAAAAGAGAAAACCAUCCGUAGUGUACACUUUACAGAAUGCCUGCGAUCUCAUGUUAAUAGCUAAAGCAUUCUCUCCAAACAAGGUUUUAUUUUUAUUUUAUGUGUAUCUUUUUUCCCCUGCCUGUGUAUCUGUACACCAUGUUCGUACAUUGCCCAUGGAGGCCAGAAAAAGACGUCUAAUCUCCCAGAACUGGAGUUAGAGAUUAUG